UCCCUCAUAGCUCAGUAGGUAAAGAAUCUGCCUGAAAUGCAGGAGACCUGGGUUCGAUUCCUGGGUUGGGAA
rnacentral:tRNA from 1 species